rnacentral:lncRNA from 1 species
AGGAGGAGGUUUGUUUUUAAGGUUAAGGGCUGAAGGAUCCAUGUCAAAGAACCCCAUGAAGUGGCAGUUACCACCUCACAGGGCUGAGACAGCGCUCUCCACCGCCAGGAGACUUGCAGAGACGCUCUUCAGUAGAACACACUCAACUCUUAAGUCUGCCUGUGCUUCCACCACACCAGGCCAGUCACCAUCCCCACCCUCCUCUCUAUUUCAUACAUAAAGAUGUGACUAAUUGCUGACCCCAUACAUUACCGGCAUUGGAAACCCACAGCUAAGGACGGGGCAAGCCCCCGGGGGGUCCCCACGGCCAAACUCUGAGAGUAUGAGGCCAUUCGCCGUCCAAUGGGGAAUGCACAAUUUUGUACAGGUUGGAGAAAGAACGCAAUUAUCAGAGAAGUCUCUCAGGACGUUUCUUGCGCUUCGCUGACUCGGGGAUGGAUGUUCACAAACCCAGUGUUGGAGUUAGUGUAAUGCACUGCUUGGCUCAUAUUUGGUGUGCAAGAAUACCGACAGCAUUUCAGCAAUUUAGAGAAUAAAAACUGAAAUUUAAAGUGACAGUGAGCAUAUUUUAUUACGUUACGUUUCAGAUGCCUUUGUACAGGAAAGAAAAAAUGUUUGUCAGGACAUUGCUUCGAGAGAAGAAGAGUUUCACUCUUAGAGUAACUAUUAAAAAAGUGUUCUAGUGAAUAUUUAUGGGGACAUCCUGGUUGCAAAUUCAUAAAAAUAUAUUAGGACUCCAUUAUCCCCAUCGGUAUUAAGUAUAUCGC